AUACAGAGGGUGCGAGCGUUAAUCGGAAUUACUGGGCGUAAAGCGCGCGUAGGCGGCUUAUUAAGUCAGAUGUGAAAUCCCCGGGCUCAACCUGGGAACUGCAUCUGAUACUGGUAAGCUAGAGUUUUGGAGAGGGAAGUAGAAUUUCAGGUGUAGCGGUGAAAUGCAUAGAGAUCUGAAGGAAUACCAGUGGCGAAGGCGACUUCCUGGCCUAAAACUGACGCUGAGGUGCGAAAGCGUGGGUAGCAAGCGGGAUUAGAUACCCCGGUAGUCC
rnacentral:rRNA from 1 species